AAGCAAAUGACGAGAUAUCAUUUUAGAUAUGAGAAGCACGCAUUUGAUUUAUGCGAGCAGUGUUUUACCUCAUACUUCCAUGACUCUGAUGCUU